AACGAACGCUGGCGGCAGGCUUAACACAUGCAAGUCGAGCGCAUCCUUCGGGGUGAGCGGCGGACGGGUUAGUAACGCGUGGGAACGUGCCCUUUGCUCUGGAAUAGCCCUGGGAAACUGGGGGUAAUACCGGAUGUGCCCUGAGGGGGAAAGGUUUACCGGCAAGGGAUCGGCCCGCGUCUGAUUAGGUAGUUGGUGGGGUAACGGCUCACCAAGCCGACGAUCGGUAGCUGGUUUGAGAGGAUGAUCAGCAACACUGGGACUGAGACACGGCCCAGACUCCUACGGGAGGCAGCAGUGGGGAAUCUUGGACAAUGGGGGCAACCCUGAUCCAGCCAUGCCGCGUGGGUGAUGAA
rnacentral:rRNA from 1 species